CCCUUAGAUGUUCUGGGCUGCACGCGCGCUACACUGACGCACGCAACAGGUGCCUGCUCCGAGAGGACUGGGUAAUCAUUUGAGUGUGUGUCGUGAUGGGGAUAGAAUAUUGUAAUUAUUACUCUUCAACGAGGAAUUCCUAGUAAGCGCCAGUCAGCAGCUUGCGCUGAUUACGUCCCUGCCCUUUGUACACACCGCCCGUCGCUCCUACCGAUGGGUGAUCCGGUGAAUGAUUCGGACUUCAGCGGCUCCCCUGGGGUGCGCCGGAGAAAGUUUUGUGAACCUUAUCACUUGGAGGAAGGAGAAGUCGUAACA
rnacentral:rRNA from 1 species